GUCCCUGUAGCGUGAUGGACAGCGCUUUGGACUUCUAAUCCAGAGAGCGUGGGUACGAAUCCCACGUGGGAUG